UAAUCGUGACCAACCUGCCCCUGACUCUGGGAUAAGCCCGGGAAACUGGGUCUAAUACCGGAUAUGACCACGGGUCGGAUGGCCUUGUGGUGGAAAGUUUUUCGGUUGGGGAUGGGCUCGCGGCCUAUCAGCUUGUUGGUGGGGUGAUGGCCUACCAGGGCGACGACGGGUAACCGGCCUGAGAGGGCGACCGGUCACACUGGGACUGACACACCGCCCACACUCCUACGGGAGGCAGGAGGGGGGAAUAUUGCGCAGUGGGCGGAAGCCUGACGCAGCCACCCCGCGUGGGGGAUGACCGCCUUCGGGUUGAAAACCUCUUUCAGCGGGGACGAAGCUAACGUGACGGUACCUGCAAAAAAAGCGCCGGCUAACUACGUGCCAGCCGCCGCGGUAAUACGGGGGGCGCAAGCGUUGUCCGGAAUUAUUGGGCGUAAAGAGCUCGUAGGCUGUUUGUCGCGUCCGUCGUGAAACCCCACGGCUUAACUGUGGGUCUGCGGUGGAUACGGGCAGACUAGAGGCAGGUAGGGGAGAAUGGAAUUCCCGGUGUAGCGGUGAAAUGCGCAUAUAUCGGAGAGGAACACCGGGUGGCGAGGGCGGUCUCUCUGGGUCUGUACUGACGCUGAGAGAGCAAAAGCGUGGGAGAGAAAACAGUAUUAUAUCCCCCUGAGGAGCGAAAGCGUGGGGAGCGAACAGGAUUAGAUACCCUGGUAGUCCACGCCGUAAACGUUGGGCGCUAGGUGUGGGGUUCUUCCACGGAUUCCGCGCCGUAGCUAACGCAUUAAGCGCCCCGCCUGGGGAGUACGGCCGCAAGGCUAAAACUCAAAGGAAUUGACGGGGGCCCGCACAAGCGGCGGAGCAUGUUGCUUAAUUCGACGCAACGCGAAGAACCUUACCAAGGCUUGACAUCGCCGGAAAACUCGCAGAGAUGCGGGGUCCUUUUUGGGCCGGUGACAGGUGGUGCAUGGCUGUCGUCAGCUCGUGUCGUGAGAUGUUGGGUUAAGUCCCGCAACGAGCGCAACCCUCGUUCCAUGUUGCCAGCACGUAAUGGUGGGGACUCAUGGGAGACCGCCGGGGUCAACUCGGAGGAAGGUGGGGAUGACGUCAAGUCAUCAUGCCCCUUAUGUCUUGGGCUGCAAACAUGCUACAAUGGCCGGUACAGAGGGCUGCGAUACCGUGAGGUGGAGCGAAUCCCUUAAAGCCGGUCUCAGUUCGGAUUGGGGUCUGCAACUCGACCCCAUGAAGUCGGAGUCGCUAGUAAUCGCAGAUCAGCAACGCUGCGGUGAAUACGUUCCCGGGCCUUGUACACACCGCCC
rnacentral:rRNA from 1 species